rnacentral:rRNA from 1 species
GAAUCUUGCGCAAUGGGCGAAAGCCUGACGCAGCAACGCCGCGUGGGGGAUGAAGGCCUUCGGGUUGUAAACCCCUUUCAGGCGGGAAGAAAUUGACGGUACCUCCAAAAGAAGCCCCGGCCAACUACGUCCCAGCAGCCGCGGUAAUCCGAAGGGGGCGAGCGUUAUCCGGAAUCAUUGGGCGUAAAGAGCUCGUAGGCGGUUCAGCAAGUCGGCUGUGAAAGUCUGAGGCUCAACCUCAGAAUUGCAGUCGAUACUGCUGUGACUCGAGUCCGGUAGAGGAGAACGGAAGUCCCGGUGUAGCGGUGAAAUGCGCAGAUAUCGGGAGGAACACCAGUAGCGAAGGCGGUUCUCUGGGCCGGCACUGACGCUGAGGAGCGAAAGCGUGGGGAGCAAACAGG